UGGGGAAUAUUGCACAAUGGGCGCAAGCCUGAUGCAGCAACGCCGCGUGAGGGACGACGGCCUUCGGGUUGUAAACCUCUUUUAGUAGGGAAGAAGCGAAAGUGACGGUACCUGCAGAAAAAGCACCGGCUAACUACGUGCCAGCAGCCGCGGUAAUACGUAGGGUGCGAGCGUUGUCCGGAAUUAUUGGGCGUAAAGAGCUCGUAGGCGGUCUGUCGCGUCUGCUGUGAAAACCCGAGGCUCAACCUCGGGCCUGCAGUGGGUACGGGCAGACUAGAGUGCGGUAGGGGAGAAUGGAAUUCCUGGUGUAGCGGUGGAAUGCGCAGAUAUCAGGAGGAACACCGAUGGCGAAGGCAGUUCUCUGGGCCGUAACUGACGCUGAGGAGCGAAAGCGUGGGGAGCGAACAGGAUUAGAUACCCUGGUAGUCCACGCCGUAAACGUUGGGCGCUAGAUGUGGGGGCACCAUUCCACGGUUUCCGUGUC
rnacentral:rRNA from 1 species